rnacentral:rRNA from 1 species
CCAUCAGAACUCCGCAGUUAAGCGUGCUUGGGCGAGAGUAGUACUAGGAUGGGUGACCUCCUGGGAAGGCCUCAUGUUGCACCCCUAUGGGUGCGAUCAUACCAGCAUUA